ensembl:lincRNA
CAAAGACCUGGUGCCUGAGAAUUCUUUCCCUCUGAAUCUGCCAAAUCAAGGUCUUCUGCAACUUCCAUCUUGAAGCUGGAUUUUCUGAAAUUUGCAAUGUGCACCAGAUAGAACAGAAGAACAAAAAUAAGCACCCUGAAAACAGACUGAUAAAUAAUAGAUGGACAGAUGGAGAGAUGCCACCCCUCUCCCUGGACUCCCAGGAGAAAUCUCAGACACCCUGCAAAAGAAAGCCUGUUGGAAGCCCAAAGCUAACUAUUUUAAAGAAAAGAAAUGCAAAUUGAAGAAGAGCUUCUGAAUGCUUUAAUUUCCUUUCCACACUGAAUAACCCCUAUCGCCAAAUUGGAUUGUCUGUGAUGUAAGGGUCUAUUAGUGUUAGGCGGACAGUUAAUGUAAUAUGCUGUCACUACAAUGACUUCUACCUGAACAGGAGAACACAGCAGAGCGCUUCUAUUUUGUAGUCAAGCAAGACAGACUUCAUAUGUUGUUUGUUAAAUACCUCCACUGCGUAGAUAAUUAGGUCAGUUGUUUGCUUCCAAGUUAUUUCAAGUUUCAGACUAGACUAAACCAAGAAUAUAUAUAUCAGUCAGUUGCAUUUGUUUGUAUGAAAAAGGAAAAAAAUUCAAAGAAAAGGCCAAUUACAAAUGUGGGGACCAACCAAUUAUCAGAGAGUUGUAAAACCAAUGAAGAUAAGAGAAGAAUAUAAAUUUUAUACUUUUGCUGGGAAACACUUUAUAUUGAUUUAAAGUAGCUAAAAUUAAAUGAAAAUGAGUUUUUAAAAGUAUAGGAUAAUUGUCCAAUAAUUUUUUAAAAAUCACUAGCCAAUAUUUUACUCAUGGCUUUGACUCUUAAGCAGACUGGAAUUUCUUUUUGCUUUUAUCUGUCCGGUGCAGGUAACCUAGGCAGUCAAAAAUAUUCUUAUAGGCAUGGAAAAAGAGUUUUACAGAAAAUAAAAAAUUAUUUUUUCUGAUUAAAAAAAAUUAUACCCACUGUGAACUUAAUAAAAGUAACAUUUGCUCAUUACUGUCCUGGUUUUGUUUUUAUUU